rnacentral:rRNA from 1 species
GAUGAACGCUGGCGGCGUGCCUGAUACAUGCAAGUCGAGCGAACGGACGAGAAGCUUGCUUCUCUGAUGCUAGCGGCGGACGGGUGAGUAACACGUGGAUAACCUACCUAUAAGACUGGGAUAACUUCGGGAAACCGGAGCUAAUACCGGAUGAUAUUUUGAACCGCAUGGUUCAAAAGUGAAAGACGGUCUUGCUGUCACUUAUAGAUGGAUCCGCGCUGCAUUAGCUAGUUGGUAAGGUAACGGCUUACCAAGGCAACGAUGCAUAGCCGACCUGAGAGGGUGAUCGGCCACACUGGAACUGAGACACGGUCCAGACUCCUACGGGAGGCAGCAGUAGGGAAUCUUCCGCAAUGGGCGAAAGCCUGACGGAGCAACGCCGCGUGAGUGAUGAAGGUCUUCGGAUCGUAAAACUCUGUUAUUAGGGAAGAACAUAUGUGUAAGUAACUGUGCACAUCUUGACGGUACCUAAUCAGAAAGCCACGGCUAACUACGUG